CGGGGCGCCAAAGUCCGNUCACCCAAUCAAGAAGCCGGGGGGNUCCGGGGCGUCCGGGUCCACAAGAUCAUCCGACGGGUGACCNUAUCGAGGUUUAANAAUAAUGAUCGGGUUCCGGGGCCCGCCCNUUGGNCCUUUGGAGGCACGGAACCUGCGGAAGGAUCAUUA
rnacentral:rRNA from 1 species